rnacentral:rRNA from 1 species
UACGGGGGGGGUAAGCGUUGUUCGGAUUCACUGGGCGUAAAGGGUGCGUAGGCGGUCGGGUAAGUCUGACGUGAAAUCUUCAAGCUCAACUUGGAAACUGCGUCCGAUACUAUUCGGCUAGAGGAAUGGAGGGGAGACUGGAAUACUUGGUGUAGCAGUGAAAUGCGUAGAUAUCAAGUGGAACACCAGUGGCGAAGGCGAGUCUCUGGACAUUUCCUGACGCUGAGGCACGAAAGCCAGGGGAGCAAACGGG